UUAAACCUGCCGAGCACGAUACAGUUGGCUUUUGUAACCCGAACAAUUUUUUUAUUGGGAACUUAGAAUUUCAAAGGUGGAGUGUAGACCUCCCAAAUGGAAGAAGGGAACCGGAAGUCUUUGACAAAGUGCCCACCUGCUUUGAAGCAGGUUAUUCAAAGCUUUUAAACUCCGACUCGGCGGGGAACAA
rnacentral:other from 1 species